GACGAACGCUGGCGGCGUGCUUAACACAUGCAAGUCGAACGGAAAGGCCCUGCUUUUGUGGGGUGCUCGAGUGGCGAACGGGUGAGUAACACGUGAGUAACCUGCCCUUGACUUUGGGAUAACUUCAGGAAACUGGGGCUAAUACCGGAUAGGAGCUCCUGCUGCAUGGUGGGGGUUGGAAAGUUUCGGCGGUUGGGGAUGGACUCGCGGCUUAUCAGCUUGUUGGUGGGGUAGUGGCUUACCAAGGCUUUGACGGGUAGCCGGCCUGAGAGGGUGACCGGCCACAUUGGGACGGAGAUACGGCCCAGACUCCUACGGGAGGCAGCAGUGGGGAAUAUUGCACAAUGGGCGGAAGCCUGAUGCAGCAACGCCGCGUGCGGGAUGACGGCCUUCGGUUGUAAACCGCUUUCGCCUGUGACGAAGCGUGAGUGACGGUAAUGGGUAAAGAAGCACCGGCUAACUACGUG
rnacentral:rRNA from 1 species